CUCCGGUUGAUCCUGCCGGACCCGACUGCUAUCAGAGUGGGACUAAGCCAUGCGAGUCAACAUAGCAAUAUGUGGCAUACGGCUCAGUAACACGUAGUCAACAUGCCCAGGGGACGUGGAUAACCUCGGGAAACUGAGGAUAAACCGCGAUAAGUCACUACUUCUGGAAUGGGUAAUGACUCAAAUCUACAUGGCCCCUGGAUUGGACUGCGGCCGAUCAGGCUGUUGGUGAGGUAAUGGCCCACCAAACCUGUAACCGGUACGGGCUCUGAGAGGAGGAGCCCGGAGAUGGGCACUGAGACAAGGGCCCAGGCCCUAUGGGGCGCAGCAGGCGCGAAACCUCUGCAAUAGGCGAAAGCCUGACAGGGUUACUCUGAGUGAUUUCCGUUAAGGAGAUCUUUUGGCACCUCUAAAAAUGGUGCAGAAUAAGGGGUGGGCAAGUCUGGUGUCAGCCGCCGCGGUAAUACCAGCACCCCGAGUGGCCGGGACGUUUAUUGGGCCUAAAGCAUCCGUAGCCGGUUCUACAAGUCUUCCGUUAAAUCCACCUGCUUAACAGAUGGGCUGCGGAAGAUACUAUAGAGCUAGGAGGCGGGAGAGGCAAGCGGUACUCGAUGGGUAGGGGUAAAAUCCGUUGAUCCAUUGAAGACCACCAGUGGCGAAGGCGGCUUGCCAGAACGCGCUCGACGGUGAGGGAUGAAAGCUGGGGGAGCAAACCGGAUUAGAUACCCGGGUAGUCCCAGCUGUAAACGAUGCAGACUCGGUGAUGAGUUGGCUUCUUGCCAACUCAGUGCCGCAGGGAAGCCGUUAAGUUUGCCGCCUGGGGAGUACGGUCGCAAGACUGAAACUUAAAGGAAUUGGCGGGGGAGCA
rnacentral:rRNA from 1 species